rnacentral:rRNA from 1 species
CCUACGGGUGGCAGCAGUGGGGGAUAUUGCACCAUGGUGGGAACACUGAUGCAGCGACGCCGCGUGGGUGAAGAAGCGCCUCGGCGCGUAAAGCCCUGUCAGCAGGGAAGAAAAUGACGGUACCUGAAGAAGAAGCACCGGCUAACUACGUGCCCGCAGCCGCGGUAAUACGUAGGGGGCAAGCGUUAUCCGGAUUUACUGGGUGUAAAGGGGGCGCAGACGGCGAUGCAAGCCAGGAGGGAAAGCCCGGGGCCCAACCCCGGGACUGCUCUUGGAACUGCGUGGCGGGAGUGGAGGAGGGGCAGGCGGAAUUCCUGGUGUAGCGGUGAAAUGCGUAGAUAUCAGGAGGAACACCGGUGGCGAAGGCGGUCUGCUGGACAGCAACUGACGCUGAGGCGCGAAAGCGUGGGGAGCAAACAGGAUUAGAUACCCUGGUAGUC